rnacentral:rRNA from 1 species
AUUGAACGCUGGCGGCAGGCUUAACACAUGCAAGUCGAGCGGAGAUGAGGUGCUUGCACCUUAUCUUAGCGGCGGACGGGUGAGUAAUGCUUAGGAAUCUGCCUAUUAGUGGGGGACAACAUUCCGAAAGGAAUGCUAAUACCGCAUACGUCCUACGGGAGAAAGCAGGGGAUCUUCGGACCUUGCGCUAAUAGAUGAGCCUAAGUCGGAUUAGCUAGUUGGUGGGGUAAAGGCCUACCAAGGCGACGAUCUGUAGCGGGUCUGAGAGGAUGAUCCGCCACACUGGGACUGAGACACGGCCCAGACUCCUACGGGAGGUAGCAGUGGGGAAUAUUGGACAAUGGGGGGAACCCUGAUCCAGCCAUGCCGCGUGUGUGAAGAAGGCCUUAUGGUUGUAAAGCACUUUAAGCGAGGAGGUGGCUACUGAGACUAAUACUCUUGGAUAGUGGACGUUACUCGCAGAAUAAGCACCGGCUAACUCUGUGCCAGCAGCCGCGGUAA